GAUGAACGCUGGCGGCGUGCCUAAUACAUGCAAGUCGAGCGAAUGGAUUAAGAGCUUGCUCUUAUGAAGUUAGCGGCGGACGGGUGAGUAACACGUGGGUAACCUGCCCAUAAGACUGGGAUAACUCCGGGAAACCGGGGCUAAUACCGGAUAACAUUUUGAACCGCAUGGUUCGAAAUUGAAAGGCGGCUUCGGCUGUCACUUAUGGAUGGACCCGCGUCGCAUUAGCUAGUUGGUGAGGUAACGGCUCACCAAGGCAACGAUGCGUAGCCGACCUGAGAGGGUGAUCGGCCACACUGGGACUGAGACACGGCCCAGGCUCCUACGGGAGGCAGCAGUGGGGGAUCUUCCGCAAUGGACGAAAGUCUGACGGAGCAACGCCGCGUGAGUGAUGAAGGCUUUCGGGUCGUAAAACUCUGUUGUUAGGGAAGAACAAGUGCUAGUUGAAUAAGCUGACACCUUGACGGUACCUAACCAGAAAGCCACGGCUAACUACGUGCCAGCCGCCGCGGUAA
rnacentral:rRNA from 1 species